CUGUCCCUCAGGAUGCCGGUGAGGCUCAGGGAGCAGAAGAUAUUACAGAGAUGAUAGCUGAUUUGCAGCCUGUAAGGAACCCUCCAUUAGGUUCAGUAGUGAUAGGUGAGAGUGUGGUGCGUAGGACGGGACGGAGUACGGCUGGGCAGCAUUCUAAUGUACAUCAUCUGCCACGGUCACUUGGUGUAGGCACAGUGUCCAGUAUAGUUGGUAGUGCAGCUGAGGUAUGGUUUCGUCCUUGGGAUUGAAGGGCCUAGAGGGCAUGCUUUUUUUUUUAUUAGUUCACCGUCGGGGCGACGGUACAGAAGGUGGGGGUGGAUUGUGACCGAUCGUAUUGGAUAAGUGAUGGUGACUGACACUUGUAACAGCCAAUCAGCAGUAAGUGUGACCUAUUUUAGAGCAGGUUGGCUCUGUUGGGUCAUGCGUCACCUCCGGCCCCGCCUUUUUUGGGUUUUGUUUUUUUAUGUUGACUUGUGUUUCAGGUAUGUGUUAGCAGUUAGCUCUUCGUUUGUCUCUUUCAUAAUGUUGUGGACUAAUCGUUUGUUAUUUCAUUCUAGCCUGUCUUUUCCUUUGUUUUCUGUCGAUGGCCAUGAGUUUAAUGACUGCUGUUUAUUCAGGUAAGCGAUUAAUACUGUUAGAAAAUGGGUUGGCAUGGACUGAGCGCGCAGUUUGAAUAAUAGGCAGUUCCCUGUACCCUAGCUUGGUAUUGGUAUUACUGAGGAUGCCGAAUCCCAAUUUGUGAAUGCGUGCGAGCAUACUUUUUCCGGUUUGGAUUCUCCCUUUCGUCCUGGGCGAUUAAAUGUGCCGUUCCUGACGUUCUUUUCCUGUUGCGCCGUGAACUUUCGGUUACUCGGAAGUCUUAGUUGAUACGGAGAUCUACUACUGCUGUUUGCUACCCGCUACCCGCUAUCUGCUACCUGCUAUCUACUACUGAUCCCUGUGAUUGUGAUUUGUGUUACUGGUUAUUAUUGUGUAUUUUUGGUUUUGUUGGACAUUUUGUAUUGUUUAUAUUCAACAUUAGUUUGCCUUGGUUGAAUUUGUUUGUUUGUUUCCUUUUUUAUUCUUGUGACCAUUAUUGCCUGGAUUAGUGUGUAAGGUUUUGGUUUGUUUAAUGCACAUUGCAUAUACUCAUUUUAUUUUUAUCUUCUUACAGGAGCUGGGGUUCCACGGGUGUAGGAUCUUGAGGUGGUGGUGUCACUUCAUCAUUUGGUGUGUGCAGUGAGUGUGUCGGUGUGUGUGUGUGUGCGGGGGUGCGUAAGUGUGCUUUUGGAUAAAUUCAGCACUGGUGAUCACUCCCGUGUGUGACCUCAGCCCUGUGAGUUGGUUUUUUAUUUUGUUUUGGCAAUUUAAUGCCUACAUUCCUUUUGUAAUAGUUUGUUUUUCUGUGUAUAUAUAUAUAUUUGUUUACUAAAUUUUAUUUGAUUUACUGCAGUUACCAUUGGGGGGUGCUGCCGGCAGUAGGUGAUGAGGAUUCAAUGUGACUUUUAAAUGGUGAAACAAUUGUGAAAAUAAAUUUUGUACUUUCAUACUUUA